UACGAAGGGGCUAGCGUUGCUCGGAAUCACUGGGCGUAAAGCGCACGUAGGCGGCUUUCUAAGUCAGGGGUGAAAUCCUGGAGCUCAACUCCAGAACUGCCUUUGAUACUGGAGAGCUUGAGUCCGGGAGAGGUGAGUGGAACUCCGAGUAUAGAGGUGAAAUUCGUAGAUAUUCGGAAGAACACCAGUGGCGAAGGCGGCUCACUGGCCCGGUACUGACGCUGAUGUGCGAAAGCGUGGGGAGCGAACGGGG
rnacentral:rRNA from 1 species